UUACAAGUAUUAAUCAAAGAAAUCACAGCCGGUUGAAAUGUCAAUGUAGAUCCAAAGACCAAGUGCAUUGUAGAUACCGAUGCAACAAAAUUUAUCAUCGAGAAUGUCAUAUCUUUAACAGUUAAAGAGAAACUGCGCAUCAAAUUGUUACCUAAAAGUGGACAUUGCAGAUCAAAAUAUAGCAAUAUUAAAACACACAAAAAAAAAAGAAGGUAAUUCAUGCAACAACAAUAUAGAAAUUCUAUUUUAGAGAGUUCACAGUAUGAACAUGAACAAUAAAUAUCACUUACCUAAAUAGAAACAUGGUGGAACAAGAUUCAGAGUUGUAUAAGUUGUGA
rnacentral:lncRNA from 1 species